rnacentral:lncRNA from 1 species
CUGAAUCAUAACCUCUCUUUGUUCAUCUACUGUAAAGCAGACUGGUCUCCAGGAGGGAGAAGCAGACUAGACAUAUUCAAUAGAGACUGUGUGGGACCUACCGCCCUCCUUUAAAGAUGGGGUGCUAGGAAGGAGGACUGCGUCGCCACCUAAGUGCUACCUGGCUCUCCAACAACAAAACGCUUCAGGCAUGACAUCGAGGCAGAUGGUUCCACUCCCCCUCUUUCCUCUCUCUCAGGCUCCCACCAGAGGUCUGUGGCACCUCUGCCACGCUUGGGUUGGGUGACAGCUCUCCCUGAUCUUUGAGGGGAAUAUCAAUGAUGGCACAGAGUAGAAGGAUCUGCCACCUGGGUAUCUGCUGCUGCUGAGAGACAUCUUACACAUAUUUCCACAAUUCAGUCAGGUCAGAGACACGUACACACACACACACAAGCAGGCGCACUUGCCUGCAUGCGCACACAAACACACAAAGACACACACAUUUCACCUAUUGGGAAAAAGAGACCUUCUACAGGCAAACAAACUGUAGCAUCGAUGAUGA